ACACGCGGGCAUCAGCGCAGGAGGCGGUUGCACGACAGUGUCCAGGGAGAACCCAACGGCUGGCAAGCCCCCUCUGCAAACCGCCCUGGCGCAGCGCUUUCCGGGACCCGGCAGGGGAUGACUCAGCUGCUGCGCCCCGGUGCGGGACUCAUGUGGUGCGGGAGGGGGCCACGGAGGGCCCAGCCGCCGGUUGAGGGCCGCCUCGCUCUGGGUUUUUGGUGUUUGUGGCUGGGAUUGGUGGCUCACAUCCGCCGGGGACUCGGGAGAGGAGGGAGAACAGACUCGGGGAGGAGGAGCUGGACCGAGUGAGUGGCAGGAGCCGGGUCCGGACCCGGCGGUGACUGCCUUGUCAUUUUGUUUGCUAACUUGGACAGCGGCUUCAGGGUCCACCCCACGGAACCCGCCUCGGGUCCGCUAAGCCCAACCCACGGCGGCUCGAGGCCAGAGCGUUCUUUCCCGGCGGUUACCCGCGGCCACGCGGUGGCUCUCAUUAUGUACACAAAGGUAGCUUUUCUUUUCUCCCAAGUCAGCCUGGCUAAUGAAUGCGAUUCUCCGGCCGCACUGAUGGAAACCGGGUUUACAAGGUUUGAAAACAAACUUUACGGGGCGAGCGGGAGCAGAGAGAGAGAGUAGAAGCCUCUUUCAAACUAGGACGGGAGGAAAACGCAGAAUUAAAAACUCACCGUGACGCGAAGGCCAGCUGAACUCCGCCAGUGCACACCUUCUGCUCGCAUAAAUCUUUUCGAGGCAGUUAAGAAGUCGGAGCGCGCUGGCGGAAUUCUGAGAUCAGCUGAAGCCCUACGGUGCCCCUCCCCCACCCCCUCCCCCACCCUUAAGGCUGGAGCCAAGCUCGGUAGCAGCCUUGCGUUCCUGCAGGACUGGUGCACCCGGGCUUUACAACUCCAGAAAAGGGAAACGGCCCCCCAGCGCGAGUUCAUAACAUCCGCAAUAUUUUCUAUCCGCUGUCUGCGCGGCGGAAAAACAAGGUUCAGUUCUGGCUGUGUCAGGGCGUCUCCGUGUAACUGAUUCAAGCGACUUCGGGUUAGUUGUCGUUGCCACGUGUUACUUUACUGAACUCUUAUGCCUCAUAAUCAAAUUAUCUAAGUUGUCCUGUUUUCGUGUGUGUGUGUGUGUGUGUGUGUGUGUGUGUGGUGUUUUGUUUUGUUGGUUUUCUUUGCGAUGUCUUAAGGUAAGCAGAGCUGUUUAAAAGGUAAACUUACUUUGUGGUCUCGAAUGGCACAAACUUGGGAAGGCUGAGAGAAGAGCCCGGUGGCAAUAAGUGUAGUUAGUUAUUAUUAUUGGCUCCAGGUCUGUCAAAGGCCUGAGGGGAGGUGUUUGUUUCAUCUGGACAAUCGAUUAGGUAUGAUUCCUGUCAGGUGCCGGGCCUGGUGGGCCUCACCCAGUCAUUGGAUCUCUUUCCCUGGAAGGCCAGCUAGUGCAGAUAUUUAUAAAAUAUGCAGGCUGCUGGGCUUCCAACACUGCACGAGGGACCUGUAAUCAGCUUGUCAUCUCAGCUCUGAGGAGCUCUGGCUGCUCAAGGUGAGAGCUAACCAUUGUCUUCACAAGGGCUGGUCCCGGCCAUCUUGUGGUGAGUUUAUCAACAUUCCCUUGUUCAGUUUUAAGUAGCUGGCACUACUGAUCACUUUCUCCACGUCAACACAGCCCCCUACCCUUUGUUUUGUUUUGAAGUGGAAGUCACUUUUCUUUCCCUAGGUGAUGUGGGCUGAAGUUCCCUGGAAAAGACACACUGAGGCUGAUCUACCCGGUGAUUGCCUGAUUAGGGCCUCCUGGUUGGGGUGAGUUGGAAUGAUACAGAUCCAGAGGCAGAUCAUCCUGAUCUAUCGAUCUAUCGAAAGUCUCCCUCCUAGCCAUUUAUUACCUGUCUAUCUGGCCUACCCUUUUUUUGACUCUCAAUUAAAAAUCUUGAGACCUCAUCCAUGUAUUAUUUGGUAAAUGCGUUCAUUUUUAGCUUAGUUUAUGAUUAACAGUUCAUAUGCUAACUUCCAUGGUGUGGGACAUAGACAUAACAGUUCAUAUGAUAACUUCCAUGGUGGGACAUGUCUGGAGUCUACCCAAAUCUGGGUUCCCUGGGCCACAAUCACUUUCAUAUUUGGCUCAGGAUAAAUGAUCUCUUACUGUCUUUGGGAUGAGAGCUGUGGUUUUUGUUUGACAAUGGCCUUAUUGAACUCAGUCUUUAUCCCCUUUAUUUUUUUCUUUCUUUCUUUCUUUCUUUCUUCCUUUCUUUUUUUUUUUUUUUGAUUUUUCGAGACAGGGUUUCUCGGUGUAGCCCUGGCUAACCUGGAACUCACUCUGUAGACCAGGCUGGCCUCGAAUUCAGAAAUCCACCUGCCUCUGCCUCCCGAGUGCUGGGAUUAAAGGCGUGCGCCACCACUGCCCAGCUCCCUUUAUUUUCAAUAUCUUGUAUCUUCAUGUAUGUGCCUCAGACUUUCUGAAACAUUUAAAUGCUCCCAUUUAAUAUCCAAAUUAGUCAUAUACGCUAUAUUUUUCUUAAAGUCAACAUAACUUGAACACAUUCAAAUGUGCCAUAGCUAAACAGCACAAAGCAAGAUGUUGGGCACAGACUACCUGGCUCUCAGGGAAUCUGUCAUAGAAGGUCACACUGAUAAUGAAGGCAGAGAUUGGCCUUAGACAUCAGAGACACCAAGAUCCAGAUAUCGCCAAGGUAACCUCCAAAUGUCCUUCCUUAGUUAAAAUCCCGCUCUUUCCUAUAGAGUCUUUCUAACCCUGAAGCUGCUGGCUUCCUUUUGGUCUAUCUCUUAGAUGAAAAUGAGUUGCACCUAAUUCUUAGAUUUUUUUUUAAAAGAUUUAUUUAUUUAUUAUAUGUAAGUACACUGUAGCUGUCUUCAGACACACCAGAAGAGGGAGUCAUAUCAUGUUACGGAUGGUUGUGAGCCACCAUGUGGUUUCUGGGAUUUGAACUCAGGAACUUCGGAAGAGCAGUCAGUGCUCUUAACCACCGAGCUAUCUCACCAGCCCCUAGAUUUAUUUUUUAAUUAUGUGCAUGUGUGUGCACAAGCACACAUGAGUGCAGGUUCACUUUGGAGGCCAGAAGAAGGUUUUGCCCAGGCUGGCUGGAGGGAUAGCAGGCUCUUGUGGAGAACUGGACUUGAUUUCUCUAGAAGAGCAGGAUGUGCUCGCACCCGCUGAGCAUCUCUCCAGCCCUGCAUUUAUUUUUUUUCUCUUAAGAGUUCUAUGUUUAAGAAAAUCAGCUUGUGUGUACAUCUGACAUUCUCAUUUCUUCUUGUCCGUUCAUAAUCAUAGCCACAUUUUACUUUUUAAAUUUUUAUAUGUGUGUGCGUAUGUGUGCAUGAGAGAGAGACACACACAGAGAAACAGACAAGGAGCAUGGAAAAAAAUAUAUAUAGGUGACCUUGUUGAAAAGCAUUUUGUUUGUUUAUUUUCUCAAAUGCAAGGAAACUAGAGUAAAUAGUUAACAGCACACAGAAGACAUUAGUUCCAGAAGAGACGGUGCAGCUAUAAGAAAGAACAGCCUGGCAUUAAGAAGUGGGACACGGGCUGGAGAGAUGACACUGCUUCCAGGAGACCUGGGUUCAGUACUUAGCACCUAUAUCAGAAGGCUCAAAACCAUCUACUCAAGAGCCCAGGUCCAUGGGAUCUGUGCCCUCUUGCUGGCCUCCUUGGACAGCCACAGGCACGUGUAUACACAUCAGAGAGAGACAGAAUAAAUAGUAGUUUUUAAGGUUUGACAAAUGAAUCUACAGGUUAGAAAUUUACAACUAAAUAAGGAAUCCAAAUCACUAACAAACAUGGGGAAAGACACAGGAAUUUGCUGCUGUUAUUACAGGGUAGAGGAAAUCACACUGAUUCAUCAAUUAACAAUGGUAAUACAUUCAGAAAUGUGUUGUUAGGUGAUUUUAUUAUGUAGACAUCAUGCAAUGUCCUUAUCUAAAAUGGGUAUGAUAUCAUUAGGUCACUUUAUUUAUUUAUUUAAGAACAGAUUUCCCUAUGUACCCCUAGCUGGUCUAGAACUCACUACAUAGUGAGCUGGCCUGAACCCCACAGAAAUAUUCUGCUUCUGUCUUCUCAGAUGCUGGGAAUAAGAUGUGUGCCACAACUGGCAAGGCCAUUCAGUCUUACGAAAUCAUCAUUAUAUGUGUGCUACACCAUUGACUAUAGACUAUAUGGCCAAUGACUGUUUGCACACACAGACACU
rnacentral:lncRNA from 1 species